rnacentral:misc_RNA from 1 species
UCCUCGUUUAAGCGAGGCAGUCUGUCCAGAGUGCUCCCUACUCUCGUAGGAGUGGCAACAGGACAUAAGGGUUGCGCUCGUUGCGGGACUUAACCCAACAUCUCACGACACGAGCUGACGACAGCCAUGCAGCACCUGUGCACGCUGGUAUUGCUACCUCGUUAGACUUUCAUCCUCCUACUACGUGCAUGUCAAGGCCAGGUAAGGUUCUUCGCGUUGCAUCGAAUUAAGCCACAUACUCCACCGCUUGUGCAGGCCCCCGUCAAUUUCUUUGAGUUUUAAUCUUGCGACCGUACUUCCCAGGCGGCUUGCUUAUCGCGUUGGCUUCGCCACAAAAGGGGUCGAUUCCUUUUACAGCAAGCAAGCACCGUUUACGGCUAGGACUAC